rnacentral:rRNA from 1 species
AAUCAACGCUGGCGGCGUGCCUCAGACAUGCAAGUCGAACGCGAAAGGUUCCUUCGGGAGCCGAGUAGAGUGGCGCUCGGGUGAGUAACACGUAGGUAAUUUGCCUUUGGGUGGGAAUAACAAUCGGAAACGGUUGCUAAUACCGCAUAAUGCAGCGGCUCGACAUCGAGACAGUUGUUAAAGCGGGGGAGUCCUUCGGGACCGUCGCGCCUAAAGAAGAAGCCUCGCGGCGGAGUUAGUCAGUUGGUGGAGGUAAUGGCGUCACCAAGGCGGACGAUCCGUAACCGGCCGUGAGAGGGCGGGACGGUCACACUGACACUUAAA